CAGUCGCCACGGGAAUACGGAGGGAGCUAGCGUUGUUCGGAAUUACUGGGCGUAAAGCGCACGUAGGUGGUGGUUUAAGUCCGUUGUGAAAGCCCUGGGCUCAACCUGGGAAUUGCAGUGGAUACUGGGUCACUAGAGUGUGGUAGAGGAUAGUGGAAUUUCCGGUGUAGCAGUGAAAUGCGUAGAGAUCGGAAGGAACAUCUGUGGCGAAGGCGACUAUCUGGGCCAACACUGACACUGAGGCACGAAAGCGUGGGGAGCAAACAGGAUUAGAUACCCCCGUAGUCCCUGUCUCUUAUAC
rnacentral:rRNA from 1 species